AGUAAAUAUUUUAAAAAAAAUUUUAGUUUUGGAGACUAAAGAUGAAUUAUAUUCUUUACUGAA
rnacentral:tRNA from 1 species